AUACGUAGGGUGCAAGCGUUGUUCGGAAUUACUGGGCGUAAAGCGCGUGUAGGUGGUUUGGUAAGUCAUGUGUGAAAGCCCCCGGCUCAACCGGGGAAGUGCACUUGAAACUGCCUAGCUAGAGGGCGGCAGAGGGAGGUGGAAUUCCUAGUGUAGAGGUGAAAUUCGUAGAUAUUAGGAGGAAUACCGGUGGCGAAGGCGGCCUCCUGGACCGUACCUGACACUGAGACGCGAAAGCGUGGGUAGCAAACAGGAUUAGAAACCCUAGUAGUCC
rnacentral:rRNA from 1 species